GCGGGUCCUCUGAAUGGCAUCACCGCCACCCUCUGCGGGGUGUGUGUGUGUAUCUGUGGAUAUACUUGGUCCUGCCAUCUCAGGGAAUCCCAAAAUGGCAGGAGAGCCACCCCCAGCGAUGGGCACAUGGGAAGAAAACCACUCAGCACGUCGUGGCCUCCAGUUUACGCCAGCCAACAUGAAAAGACCGUGCAGAAUUUCUGGACUGGGUGGGAAGAGCCAGCCAGAUGGCCAGAGGGCAGCUGAUCUGAACACAAGAAUGGGUGAUCCCUUUACGGUGGCCUGAUGUGCCAUCAAGUGAGAACUGAGUUAUAGUGAAACCAAAUAGGGCUUUGGAGGGAAGGAAGGUGACCUUCCGUAGCUGAGUAUGGAUUUGAACCCAGGCCUCCUGGGUCUGCGAUGGACCCAAUCCAUCACUCUAUACCAAGCCUCCCAAUACCUUUCUUGUUCUUGCUGUUAUGUGUCAUUAUUAAUGUUUUGUAGUUCUUCUCUAGUCAUGAUACCUUUAUUAGACCACUACAAAAAUAAUAAACGGAUCCUAGCUCUCAAUUUCAACCCGUCAAGCUCAGAGCCACGAGGCUAGGGAGGGUGCGGGAAAGAAGCACGAAAGCUCCAGAAACCCUGCCUUGAUGUCCAUGCCAGUCCUCUUCGUUAAAACACCUCCGAUCCACACAGGAAGGCCGCCGUUUGAUCUCCUGUUGAUCGCCUUAUGUGCCAGCUGUGGGAGGGGAUGCUACCAGGCAAGAUGAACACUCUCACCGGUGCCCUUCCUUUCCCAUCCGUGCUCUCCCUCGGCUGAAAAGUGGGUCGCCUCUACAAAGCUUCCAGACUCUGCCGCUUCGUGAGAUCACGGUUAUGUUAACAAAAUAUACAUAUGCUGUACUAUCAACAAAAAAGAAGGGCAGGGGGAAAUAAACACACAC